rnacentral:tRNA from 1 species
GCGGAUGUAGCUCAGUUGGUAGAGCACACGGUUGUGGCCCGUGUUGUCGUGGGUUCAAUCCCCAUCAUUCGCCCCA